rnacentral:lncRNA from 1 species
UAUAAUCUAUUCAAUUAAAUAAAUACAUUUAAAUACUCAAUUCGCAUACCUUCUCAAAUCACAUAUAUAUAAUCGAUUUAAUUAAAUACAUACAUUUAAAUACUCAAUUCGCAUACUUUCUCAAAUUAUACACAUAUAAUCAAUUCAAUUAAAUACAUACAUUUAAAUACUCACUUCGCAUACUUUCUCAAAUCAUAUAUACAUAAUCGAUUUAAUUAAAUACAUACAUUUAAAUACUCAAUUCGCAUACUUUCUCAAAUUAUCCACAUAUAAUCAAUUCAAUUAAAUACAUACCUUUAAAUACUCAAUUCACAUACUUUCUCAAAUCAUAUAUAUAUAAUUGAUUUAAUUAAAUGCAUACAUUUAAAUACUCAAAUUGCAUAUUCAAUGCAUAUUAUCAUACCAAAU